CGGCGACGUAAGCGGCGAGGGACCUGGUCCAGCGGGGAAGCACCGCGGCGGGGACGCCUUCGAUGUCGGCCACGAGGAGGGACAACAGAAGAAGUGGCAGGCGGAAGAUCGCCACCAGACCAUUCUUCAAAAAUGGAUUCCCUAGCAGCAACAACAACACUCUGCCGCUCGACAAUAAGCUGGCGCAGAGAAGGAAGAUCCAAGGUCAACGACCGAGGAUCCAAAAUAUUCAAAAUUCGAUCCAGCUCCUCAAUCUCUCCCUGAAUGAAAUCAGCAAAGAGACUCACAAGAAGAG
rnacentral:lncRNA from 1 species